UAAAAAUUUCUGUUGGUAAAACCGUAGCGGUUUUCCAAAUUUUUUUAUAACAUUUGGAAAAGUUAUAAAAAAUUGUCACAGGUGAAAAUUCGUUUACACAAGAAAAAUUAUGGACUCUAUUAACGUUUCGAAAACGUUAUUACUUUUCCACAAAGCCGAAUUCGAUGAUAUGUACGUGUUACAUAUAUUCAAAAUGUUGGACACCCCUCAGCAUAUGUAUACCAUAACGUGUACUGAUGCAGAAAAAAAUGCAGUUCGUCAAGCUUAUAUUGGAAGUAAUAGUGUCAUAUAUUUUUCAAUUAAUACCUACAUGACCUUUGAUCAUGUCAUGUUUAUUGCGAGUACGUUCCAAUAAACCCACUUUGAUAUGAGCAUAGGACAAUUUACUUGUCUCGGUAACAAGUAUUUGAAGCAAAUACCACAACUGUUCAAAUCAGAAACUCAAGAUGUCCUGAAGGUGCUCAUUACAAUAAAUAUUCGGUGAAGAGUGGCAAAUAUUGGAACAGGUUCAAUGUCUGGAAUAAUUUAAUUAUGUGAUCUGCUUUUGACUAAACUUUGAAUAGCCUUUAAAUAUAAUUAUACGAUAUACAAUUUUCACAAGAGUA